rnacentral:rRNA from 1 species
CGAUGCUUCAUUCAAAUAUCUGCCCUAUCAACUUUCGAUGGUAGGAUAGAGGCUACCAUGGUGUUCAACGGGUAACGGGGAAUAAGGGUUCGAUUCCGGAGAGGGAGCCUGAGAAACGGUACCACAUCCAAGGAAGGCAGCAGGCGCGCAAAAUUACCCAAUCCCGACACGGGGAGGUAGUGACAAUAAAUAACAAUAUAGGGCUCUUUCGGGUCUUAGUGAAUUGGAAUGAGUACAAUUUAAAUCCCUUAACGAGGAACAAUUGGAGGGCAAAGUCUGGUGCCAGCAGCCGGGUAAUUCCAGCUCCAAUAGCGUAUAUUAAAGUUGUUGCAGUUAGAAAGCUCGUAGUUGAACUUCAAACUGGGUGGGCGGUCCAGUUAACGGCGUGUACUGUCUGGCUGGGUCUUACCUCCUGGUGAGCCAGC